UCUCCGUUGGUGAACCAGCGGAGGGAUCAUUACAGGAUCGAAAGACUCCUAUAACCCCUGUGAACUUACUACAAAUACGUUGCUUCGGCAGGUGCCCCGGGUCUCCCGGGGCGUUCAGCCCGCCGGCAGCCUUCAAAUUCUGUUUCUUUGCGUUGGCAUCUCGAGUAUACAAAAAUAAGUUAAAGCUUUCAACAACGGAUCUCUUGGUUCUG
rnacentral:misc_RNA from 1 species